ACUUUGCUCUCUUUCAGCGCGGCUUCUCUCCUGCAGGUGGUCCAGUGGGGACCUCUCAUGGCCUCCUCAGGCAGAUAGGAGCCCCGUUAGUCAUUUGGGAAGCCUUCCGGGCAGCCCUGGCCCCACAGGCUCACCAGGGACUCAGCCUCUCCCAUCCCCGUCUGGGUCAGUUCCAGUUCUGCUCAAAGAGAGUCAGGGACAGUGGCGGUGAGUGUCGUGCGGAGUCUGUGGCUGAUAGAGAGAUCAUUGAACAGCUGGUUCAUAUUGUGUGUCAUCCAAAAAGAAAAUCAAUUUUUGACAUGAGAUAAGCUGAGACAGGCGUUUUAAGAAGGUAUUUUGCAAGCCACGCACUGUGAGGGGAACUGGGCUGGCUGGCGGGUUGAGGCCUCGCCAUGUCAGCGAGGUUCGCCGUGGACCCUCUUAGCCACUCCACUGUCUCCAUCUUGGCAUCCCAGCCCUCUGGAUGCCCAGACUGGAGGGCGCCUGCAGGACAUGCUGCUGGCCACUGGAGAAGGCUGGCCG
rnacentral:lncRNA from 1 species